UACGGGAGGCAGCAGUGGGGAAUAUUGCACAAUGGGCGCAAGCCUGAUGCAGCCAUGCCGCGUGUAUGAAAAAGGCCUUCGGGUUGUAAAGUACUUUCAGUCGUGAGGAAGGUGUUAAGGUUAAUAACCUUAGCAAUUGACGUUAGCGACAGAAGAAGCACCGGCUAACUCCGUGCCAGCAGCCGCGGUAAUACGGAGGGUGCGAGCGUUAAUCGGAAUUACUGGGCUAAAGGGCACGCAGGCGGUUAAUUAAGUUGGAUGUGAAAUCCCCGGGCUUAACCUGGGAAUGGCAUUCAAGACUGGUUAGCUAGAGUCUUGUAGAGGGGGUAGAAUUCCAUGUGUAGCGGUGAAAUGCGUAGAGAUGUGGAGGAAUACCGGUGGCGAAGGCGGCCCCUGGACAAAGACUGACGCUCAUGUGCGAAAGCGUGGGGAGCAAACGAGGGAUUUAGAUACCCGU
rnacentral:rRNA from 1 species